rnacentral:snoRNA from 1 species
AUGCCGUUAUGAGGGCACUUUCGUAAUAACUCUUUGAAUCACUCCCAUGCCUCAUAUAAAGAUUCUUCGUCAAGUUGUUGAUAUGAAGUGAUUUCAUUUUAGACCUU